rnacentral:rRNA from 1 species
GAGUUUGAUCGUGGCUCAGGAUGAACGCUGGCGGCGUGCCUAACACAUGCAAGUCGAGCGAAGCGAUUUCGAGGAAGUCUUCGGAUGGAAUUGGAAUUGACUGAGCGGCGGACGGGUGAGUAACGCGUGGGUAACCUGCCUCAUACAGGGGGAUAACAGUUAGAAAUGACUGCUAAUACCGCAUAAGCGCACGGGACCGCAUGGUUCUGUGUAGAAAAACUCCGGUGGUAUGAGAUGGACCCGCGUCUGAUUAGCUAGUUGGUGGGGUAACGGCCUACAAGGCGACGAUCAGUAGCCGACCUGAGAGGGUGACCGGCAC